rnacentral:misc_RNA from 1 species
CUUCCGUAGGUGAACCUGCGGAAGGAUCAUUACCGAGUGCGGGUCCUUUGGGCCCAACCUCCCAUCCGUGUCUAUUGUACCCUGUUGCUUCGGCGGGCCCGCCGCUUGUCGGCCGCCGGGGGGGCGCCUCUGCCCCCCGGGCCCGUGCCCGCCGGAGACCCCAACACGAACACUGUCUGAAAGCGUGCAGUCUGAGUUGAUUGAAUGCAAUCAGUUAAAACUUUCAACAAUGGAUCUCUUGGUUCCGGCAUCGAUGAAGAACGCAGCGAAAUGCGAUAACUAAUGUGAAUUGCAGAAUUCAGUGAAUCAUCGAGUCUUUGAACGCACAUUGCGCCCCCUGGUAUUCCGGGGGGCAUGCCUGUCCGAGCGUCAUUGCUGCCCUCAAGCCCGGCUUGUGUGUUGGGUCGCCGUCCCCCUCUCCGGGGGGACGGGCCCGAAAGGCAGCGGCGGCACCGCGUCCGAUCCUCGAGCGUAUGGGGCUUUGUCACAUGCUCUGUAGGAUUGGCCGGCGCCUGCCGACGUUUUCCAACCAUUCUUCCAGGUGACCUCGGAUCAGUAGUU